UUCGUCCAACCAGGUCUCUCCACUUGAAGUCUCUAGAACUUCUCACAGUGGUACCACCAAGUGGGGACCAAGCAUUGGGCAUGAGGCUGUGAGGCCAUCUUGUAUCCACACCACAAUAGCAUAUAAGUAUAGUGGACAUCCUCCUGCAUCCCUUAUUUUUUAAAUGAUUCCCUUUUACCCCGUAUCAUGAAAGCAUUAGAAUUUAUUAGCCAUUCAUUUGUUGGCAGUGUCUGAUGUUAUUGCCAGUUUGUUGGACACUCAUUCUUGUAUUGUCCUUCAAACAGAUUCUGAAUGGGCAAAUGUUUGUGUCAGUAGGCGUGUUCUCCUUGUAGGUGACGUUCUGUGAUGGGCCGUAGGAGCUUUCAAUAUAGAGGCGUCAAGGCAGAGGCUGACUUGGACAGCAGUGAGCUUUAUUACCAUCUUGAAGAGAGAGAGAUGCUGAAGACUUGAAUGAGGAUUACCAUCAUGUGUUGGAUUCCAACUUAAUAUAGACAAGGACUUAUUUUGACUUGAGAUAAUGGGUAGAAUCCCAGCACCCCACUUCCUUCCUGCAACCAGUAAAGAGCCCUAGCCUCAUACCGGGCUUCAGACCCAGAAGGACCAUACACGAAGCAGACGCAAUGUUCCUCCCCCGACUGACG